GGUGCAAAUGAUGGUUCAAAGCGAUCAAAGUAUGAAGCUAUGAUUCGACCUGUAAACUGCUGAUGCACC